rnacentral:piRNA from 1 species
UUGCCUUCCACCUCGCUGAACUGUGGUC